UGUUUAAUUCUAUUUUAUAAGAUUGGUUUAAAAGGAAGAUCUGCAUAUGUUUAACAUUUUGGCAAAACAUUACUUUGGAAACAUGUCUUUUGAAGCUGGUGAUUACAGGGUUUUGUGCAGUUGUUUCUCUG